CUACUUUUCAUUACCUACAUUUUUAUUACCUAUAUUGUUACCGACGUUUCAAUCCGUAGGUAUCCAUAGGGCUCAUUACCGAUCCUUACACUCUGCCCAGCUGUUUCUCGGCCACACUCCGACGCACGUGGCUUUGCAGUUCCCUCCUUCUUCCCGUUUCCCCUGUUUCUCCUCGGUGCCGCAGCAGAAAGCGGGGAGUGUGUUGUGCAGCAGGAAAGUGAAGGCGGGGAAGGUUUUCCAAGGAGAAACGGGUAAUGGUGCUCUGAGGACAGGGACACUUCAGCCCUCUCCGCUAAAUCCACAGCAGGACUUCUGUGAUGUUACACUGCUGUACGCAUGCGCUCUCUGCCAGCUGCUCCAUGGCAGGUCAGUGGGUGCCCCACAGGAGGUGUGAAGCCAAAGCAUCACAUUGCUGAAGAACUGCAGCAGGAUGGGAGGGAGCAUCUGUGCCAUGGAAGAGCCUCGUGGUUAGGACAUGGCUUUGAAUCCUCUCAAGGGGAGGGAACCCAAUGUGGGUCCCUCACAUCCUGAAAGUGCUCUGUGGCUGCUGUGCUCUGGGUUAAGCUGCUGGGCUCUACUCCUCUCUGCAGUCACCCUUCCUGGUGGAAUGCUUCCAAAGCACAAAGCAGAGGAACAGUUGGAUCUGUGCACUGAACACUUCCUGAGCAAGGCUGAGACCCCAGGGCUGGGUGGUAUAGACAGGAGAGCUAAGAGGGAUGGCACCAGAGGAGUUUGAGUUCAAAUACAAUGGGGUUUCAAUUCCAGCAGGAUUAGGAGACAGCUGCCCCCAGUUAAGGAGUUUCAAGGAACAUGAUUUUGGACUAAAGUUCUUAACUUUUCUCAUUUCGAUUACAUCUGGCAACUUGGAAAUACUACCAUUCUUAUUCCACAUAAAAGUGAAUCAGCAAGAAAGUGUUGGAACUUAUCUCUGAGAUUUUAUUUUAUUUUUUCCAUUUGUAGUGCUCCUAAAAUUCAUGGGACCCCAGAGAGGACAAUUUUCCAUGUCUGUUUAUUUUUCUCCAGUAAUGCACCACUGAGAAAUGUUGUUAUGUGUGUUUUGACAGUGCAGAUCCUCCUUCACAUUACCACCGUGGUUGUGUGCAGAGGUGCUGAGCAGAUUCUGAUCCCAUGGAUGAUGCUGGAAGUACCAAUUGGUGGAAAUCAUUCCACACCAAAAGCAAGCAUGUUCAUGAGAGUAUGGGCUACUAAAUCUUCCUUCCUUCCUUCCCUCCUUCCCUCCUUUCUUCCUUCCUUCCUUCUCUCCUUCCCUCCCUCCCUCCCUUUCCUCCUUCCUUUCCUCCUUCCUCCCUCCCUCCCUCCCUCCCUUCUUUCCCUCUUUCCUUCCCUUCUUCCUUUCUUCCUUCCUUCCUUCCUCCCUCCCUCCUCACACGAACCUUGUGUAUUAAAACAAAGGACCAAUAUCUGCACAUGUCUCAGCAGUGCUGUAAGGUUUCCCUGCUUGUAGGCUGGUGCCUGACAAGUGUAGGCUGGUGCCUGACAAGUUGCUUGGAGACAUGCAGAAAGCUUCCCCUUGACAGCAAAGGGAAAGGCACCUUUUAAGGCAGGUGAAUGGAGAGCUGCAGUUACAAUGACAGCUCUACAGUUUCCAUCCAUGUAAAUAUUUGUGAUAGUUCAAAUAUUUUCCUCUUCCCAUCUGGGUGAAAUCCUAGCUUCAAAGCUUUGGGGUUUAUUAGCACUAAACAAGAGAUCCAGAAAUAGCCCAGCAGUCAGUUACAUGGGCAGCAGUUCUUGCUCUGCUCUGCUUCCUCUAAAUGCAGAGUUGGACCUUUCUCGUGCCAGGAGGAGCAUGGACAGACUAAUGGCCAUGCAGAAGGUGUUUUCCUUUUUCCCACUCAAGUUCUUCAUGCUGGUCGUUCUGCUGUGACUGGGUACCACCUUCAGGAGAUAUUUCAGUUUUAUUGAAGAGCUGCUUAACCAAAUUUCCCAAGCAGUUUUAGGUUUCAAAAACAGCCUAAAAUGACAAACAUCCUUUCUAUUAACAAAUAAAUCUGUGACGUACCUAUUUUUAACACUGCUGCAGUUUUUAACGCUGCCAUCUUUCGUAAGAAAUAAAAGUAUCUCUCGGAUUCUGUGCGUCGUCCUUAUCCUCAUCCUGGAUUGCCACCUAGCUGCAGCGUUUGGACUUGCUGCUUGCUUCACGGUUCUGCAAACAGCGCUGGCCUUGAGCUGAGGUCUCAUAGAAUCAUAGAAUCGCUAAGGUUGGAAAAGACCCAUAGGAUCAUCCAGUCCAACCAUUAGAAAGAUGUCAACAACUAUGUCUUUCUUGGCUCCCAUAGCCGUCUUUCCUGCACAGAAAGGAAUCUGCCGUGGCUACUUCCUAAUUCCUUCAGCCACACAUCUGGAGCAAAUAUAGUGAUACGAACAACCCACAUAUCUCUGUAAGGUGGUCAGAGGGCUGGAGCAGCUCUCCUGUGAGGAAAGGUUGAGGGAACUGGGC
ensembl:lncRNA